ACUCCUACGGGAGGCAGCAGUGGGGAAUAUUGGACAAUGGGCGCAAGCCUGAUCCAGCCAUGCCGCGUGUGUGAAGAGGGCCUUAGGGUUGUAAAGCACUUUCAGUGGGGAGAAAGGUCAUUCACCUAAUACGUGAGUGAAUUGAUGUUACCCACAGAAGAAGCACCGGCUAACUCCGUGCCAGCAGCCGCGGUAAU
rnacentral:rRNA from 1 species